UCUGAAGCGGGUCCCCGUCAGGCUCAGGAGGAGGCGGAGGGUUCCCGGCUGCGGGCGGAGGCCGCUUCGAAAGGCUCCGUUUCGCGGUGGGGGGCCUCCCCGUCCACUCUGCACUUCUGCGGGGAGCCGGCCAACGGCAGUCGCCCCCGGCUCUGGAGGCGUUUUCCGGGGGAGGUGGCCCUGCGCUCCGGCGCGGGGAGCGUACAGCCCCGGCGCCCGGCAGUCCGGGCNAAUUUCGAUGAGAAUUCGAGGCGACUGAGGAGAGAAACGUCGCGGUCCCUCGCGCGUGGCGGCGCGGGCCUUCCUCCCCGUCGGUCCCUUUCGGCUCUCGCGGGCCGGGAGGCGCUCGGCGGGCGGGCGGAGGCUGGGCCCUUCCCGUCGGGGAGACGGCCGGGGGGGCCACUGCUCGUCCAGUGGUCCGCCACGGCCAACCCUCCGGCGGGAGUCGGGUCACACCUCGCGCCGCGGUCG
rnacentral:rRNA from 1 species